AACGUAGGAGACAAACGUUAUCCGGAGUUACUGGGCGUAAAGGGCGUGUAGGUGGUUUCGUAAGUCUGGCGUGAAAUUUUUCGGCUUAACCGGGAAAGGUCGUCGGAUACUGCAGAACUAGAGGACGGUAGAGGCGUGUGGAAUUCCGGGUGUAGUGGUGAAAUGCGUAGAGAUCCGGAGGAACACCAGUGGCGAAGGCGCCACUCUGGGCCGGUACUGACGCUGAGGUGCGAAAGCGUGGGGAGCAAACAGGG
rnacentral:rRNA from 1 species